GAUGAACGCUAGCGAUAGGCUUAACACAUGCAAGUCGAGGGGCAGCACAAGGUAGCUUGCUAUCUGGGUGGCGACCGGCGCACGGGUGCGUAACGCGUAUGCAACUUGCCCUAUACAGGAGGAUAACCCGUCGAAAGACGGACUAAUACUGCGUAUGCUCACAACUUGGCAUCAAGUGGUGAGGAAAGAAAUUCGGUAUAGGAUAGGCAUGCGUCCCAUUAGCUUGUUGGUGAGGUAACGGCUCACCAAGGCAACGAUGGGUAGGGGAACUGAGAGGUUUAUCCCCCACACUGGUACUGAGACACGGACCAGACUCCUACGGGAGGCAGCAGUGAGGAAUAUUGAUCAAUGGGCGCGAGCCUGAACCAGCCAAGUCGCGUGAAGGAUGACUGUCUUAUGGAUUGUAAACUUCUUUUAUACGGGAAGAACAAGAGUCACGUGUGACUCCCUGCAUGUACCGUAUGAAUAAGCAUCGGCUAACUCCGUG
rnacentral:rRNA from 1 species